rnacentral:rRNA from 1 species
AGUAAAAGUCGUAACAAGGUCUCCGUAGGUGAACCUGCGGAGGGAUCAUUACAAGUGACCCCGGUUUUACCACCGGGAUGUUCAUAACCCUUUGUUGUCUGACUCUGUUGCCUCCGGGGCGACCCUGCCUUCAGGCGGGGGCUCCGGGUGGACACUUCAAACUCUUGCGUAACUUUGCAGUCUGAGUAAAUUAAUUAAUAAAUUAAAACUUUUAACAACGGAUCUCUUGGUUCUGGCAUCGAUGAAGAACGCAGCGAAAUGCGAUAAGUAAUGUGAAUUGCAGAAUUCAGUGAAUCAUCGAAUCUUUGAACGCACAUUGCGCCCCCUGGUAUUCCGGGGGGCAUGCCUGUUCGAGCGUCAUUUCACCACUCAAGCCUCGCUUGGUAUUGGGCAACGCGGUCCGCCGCGUGCCUCAAAUCGACCGGCUGGGUCUUCUGUCCCCUAAGCGUUGUGGAAACUAUUCGCUAAAGGGUGUUCGGGAGGCUACGCCGUAAAACAACCCCAUUUCUAAGGUUGACCUCGGAUCAGGUAGGGAUACCCGCUGAACUUAAGCAUAUCAAUAAGCGGAGGA